UGAGGAAUAUUGGUCAAUGGGCGAGAGCCUGAACCAGCCAAGUAGCGUGAAGGAUGACUGCCCUAUGGGUUGUAAACUUCUUUUAUAAAGGAAUAAAGUCGGGUAUGGAUACCCGUAUGCAUGUACUUUAUGAAUAAGGAUCGGCUAACUCCGUGCCAGCAGCCGCGGUAAUACGUAGGAUCCGAGCGUUAUCCGGAUUUAUUGGGUUUAAAGGGAGCGUAGAUGGAUGUUUAAGUCAGUUGUGAAAGUUUGCGGCUCAACCGUAAAAUUGCAGUUGAUACUGGAUAUCUUAAGUGCAGUUGAUGCAGGCGGAAUUCGUGGUGUAGCGGUUAAAUGCUUAGAAAUCACGAAGAACUCCGAUUGCGAAGGCAUCCUGCUAAGCUGCAACUGACAUUGAGGCUCGAAAGUGUGGGUAUCAAAC
rnacentral:rRNA from 1 species